ACAGGGCGGACAGAAAUGUCUGUAGAUAUACUGGAUUUGCAUGUGAUUUCAGGCCUGAUACUGGUGUGCAAGCUGUGGCAGCAGCAGAUUUCAACGAUUACAAAUUUGGUGGCCCUGACCUUCAGAUCAAAGAUUUCCUCGAUAAAUUGGUGGACUUAGCUAUCUUCCAUGCAAACUCCAACAAUUUCACCGGGCCUGUGCCGAAUGAUAUAGGAGUUGAAAAAAUCAAUUUCUUUUACGAGCUCGAUCUAAGCAA
rnacentral:misc_RNA from 1 species